rnacentral:lncRNA from 1 species
CAAUGACAUAAUGCUUCAUGGUUAAACAUCAUUGUCAUUUGUCUAGAUUUCCCAUAACCAUGGAAACACACCCCUGGGUCUCCAGAAAGAUUUUAUUGAAGAGGAUAGACCUACCCUGAAUGGGAGUGGUACCUUGAGGUUCUGGAUCACAUAAAAAGGAAACUCAAGCUUGGCACUAGACGUCAUCUCUUUGCUUCCUGACUGGAUACGACAUGAGCAGUGGCCUUACUCUCCUGCCCUAUCUGUGCACCAAAAUAAACUCUGACUUGAGAAGUAAAGUGACUAACACAUGCCUCUAGUCACUGGAGUCUGGUGCCCUUUAUGGAGUCUGGUGCCCUUCAAAUGUACUUUGAAUGAAGGAACAAAGGCAGAAGAGGCACGGAUAUGGCAGAGGCAACAUGGACACUGGUAUCUGAGUGAAGAAUUCAUGGCAACAGAGUCAGGACCUUCAGCAAGGACCAGAGGAGGGAAGAGGCAACACAGAACUAAUCUAAUGGGACAACGCUGUCCUAGGAGCCAGGAGCCACUCACGUGGCUCCAAUUGCUUUAUUAAAACAAGAUUAUGGCGAGUAUGGAAGCUGAGAGGCCUGUCCAUAAACAAUCUCAGCCACCUGGUUGGCAGAGGAUGCAGCUUGGAGCAAAUAUGGAGACGGUACGAAGUUGUCAUUUUGAUCCUGUAAGAAUUAUUUGAAGAAUGGGAGUGGGGUAUACAAUAGAAAUUCCAAAUGACUUUCCUGUGCUUCACC